UGGUAGUGGAAGCCUUGCAUAAUUUUGCGACGACCUACACUCAGCUUGCUAACUCCACUCAUUACCGUCCUUGAAUCAAAGAGUCAGGUGACGCUAUGGAUGGACGAGAUGGCUUGUGGAGAGGAUUGGGACACUUGUGAGGUAAAGGAAGAUCUUCUCUUGGACAUCACUACCCAGCUGCUGCUCUCCACCUUCCUCCUGCAGACGGGGGUCUCUCAAACACAACUUGGCGUGCAUUACUGUAAUAUCAUGAGAGAAAUUUUCCGACUGGUUUAUCACAUUAACGCCGGCUAGUCACUCUGAAGACUCAAG